AUUGAAAAAAAAGCGCCAGGACUAAGUGAAGUUUGAAGGUAAGUGAACUUUUGGUGGUUUAGUUUUUUGAAAAAGAAUUUAGAUGGAAGUAAUCUUUUCUUUAAAGUUACAUGAAGAUCUAAGUAAAUCUUUUUAAAGGAAACUCGACUCACAUUCGUUCGCUGAGUAAGUUCGACUGACCAAAUCAUAGAUUUGGAGUCUCACUUGCCCGAUUAUACUGGGUAAGUUCAAACUACUAAAUCAAAGAUUUAGGUUUUCACUUAAGUUGACGAGGUUGGGGAGUAUCGAAACUUCGGCGGGUGCCCCACGGUAUCGCACUACCGUAAACGGCUGGUAAAACUGUAAAGCAAUUUGCAGCACAAAUUCAGUCUGGUGUUAAAA
rnacentral:ncRNA from 2 species